rnacentral:tRNA from 1 species
GGUAAAAUAGGUAAAAUGGCCGAGUGUUUAGGUGGUAGGCUGUAGACCUACUUAUGGGGGUUAGAUUCCUCUUUUUAUCA